rnacentral:rRNA from 1 species
GACGAACGCUUGCGGCGUGCUUAACACAUGCAAGUCGAACGGAAAGGCCCUGCUUUUGUGGGGUGCUCGAGUGGCGAACGGGUGAGUAGCACGUGAGUAACCUGCCCUUGACUUUGGGAUAACUUCAGGAAACUGGGGCUAAUACCGGAUAGGAGCUCCUGCUGCAUGGUGGGGGUUGGAAAGUUUCGGCGGUUGGGGAUGGACUCGCGGCUUAUCAGCUUGUUGGUGGGGUAGUGGCUUACCAAGGCUUUGACGGGUAGCCGGCCUGAGAGGGUGACCGGCCACAUUGGGACUGAGAUACGGCCCAGACUCCUACGGGAGGCAGCAGUGGGGAAUAUUGCACAAUGGGCGGAAGCCUGAUGCAGCAACGCCGCGUGCGGGAUGACGGCCUUCGGGUUGUAAACCGCUUUCGCCCGUGACGAAGCGUGAGUGACGGUAAUGGGUAAAGAAGCACCGGCUAACUACGUGCCAGCAGCCGCGGUGAUACGUAGGGUGCGAGCGUUGUCCGGAUUUAUUGGGCGUAAAGGGCUCGUAGGUGGUUGAUCGCGUCGGAAGUGUAAUCUUGGGGCUUAACCCUGAGCGUGCUUUCGAUACGGGUUGACUUGAGGAAGGUAGGGGAGAAUGGAAUUCCUGGUGGAGCGGUGGAAUGCGCAGAUAUCAGGAGGAACACCAGUGGCGAAGGCGGUUCUCUGGGCCUUUCCUGACGCUGAGGAGCGAAAGCGUGGGGAGCGAACAGGCUUAGAUACCCUGGUAGUCCACGCUGUAAACGGUGGGUACUAGGUGUGGGGUCCAUUCUACGGGUUCCGUGCCGUAGCUAACGCUUUAAGUACCCCGCCUGGGGAGUACGGCCGCAAGGCUAAAACUCAAAGGAAUUGACGGGGCCCCGCACAAGCGGCGGAGCAUGCGGAUUAAUUCGAUGCAACGCGUAGAACCUUACCUAGGUUUGACAUGGAUCGGGAGUGCUCAGAGAUGGGUGUGCCUCUUUUGGGGUCGGUUCACAGGUGGUGCAUGCCUGUCGUCAGCUCGUGUCGUGAGAUGUUGGGUUAAGUCCCGCAACGAGCGCAACCCUUGUUCACUGUUGCCAGCACGUUAUGGUGGGGACUCAGUGGAGACCGCCGGGGUCAACUCGGAGGAAGGUGGGGAUGACGUCAAGUCCUCAUGCCCCUUAUGUCCAGGGCUUCACGCAUGCUACAAUGGCUGGUACAGAGAGUGGCGAGCCUGUGAGGGUGAGCGAAUCUCGGAAAGCCGGUCUCAGUUCGGAUUGGGGUCUGCAACUCGACCUCAUGAAGUCGGAGUCGCUAGUAAUCGCAGAUCAGCAACGCUGCGGUGAAUACGUUCCCGGG